rnacentral:rRNA from 1 species
GUCUACGGCCAUGCCACCCUGAACAAGCCCGAUCCUGUCUGAUCUUGGAAGCUAAGCAGGGUCAGGCCUGGUUAGUACUUGGAUGGGAGACCACCUAGGAAGACCAGGUGCUGUAGACA